rnacentral:rRNA from 1 species
CCUACGGGCGGCUGCAGUGAGGAAUAUUGGUCAAUGGGCGCGAGCCUGAACCAGCCAAGUAGCGUGAAGGAUGACUGCCCUACGGGUUGUAAACUUCUUUUAUAAAGGAAUAAAGUGAGGCACGUGUGCCUUUUUGUAUGUACUUUAUGAAUAAGGAUCGGCUAACUCCGUGCCAGCAGCCGCGUUAAUACGGAGGAUUCAAGCGUUAUCCGGAUUUAUUGGGUUUAAAGGGUGUGUAGGCGGUCGGAUAAGUUAGAGGUGAAAUCCCGCGGCUCAACUUCGGAAUUGCGAUUGAUACUGGCCGGCUAGAGAGCAGUUGCGGUAGGUGGAAUGCAUGGUGUAGCGGUGAAAUGCUUAGAGAUCAUACAGAACACCGAUUGCGAAGGCAGCUUACCAAGCUACCUCUGACGUUGAGGCACGAAAGUGUGGGGAGCAAACAGGAUUAGAUACCCCAGUAGUC